AUUGAACGCUGGCGGCAGGCCUAACACAUGCAAGUCGAACGGUAACAGGAAGAAGCUUGCUUCUUUGCUGACGAGUGGCGGACGGGUGAGUAAUGUCUGGGAAACUGCCUGAUUGAGGGGGAUAACUACUGGAAACGGUAGCUAAUACCGCAUAACGUCGCAAGACCAAAGAGGGGGACCUUCGGGCCUCUUGCCAUCGGAUGUGCCCAGGUGGGAUUAGCUAGUAGGUAGGGUAACGGCUCACCUAGGCGACGAUCCCUAACUGGUCUGAGAGGAUGACUGGCCAACCUAGAACUGAGACAGGGUCCAGACGCCUACGGGAGGCAGCAGUGGGGAAUAUUGCACAAUGGGGGGAAGCCUGAUGCAGCCAUGCCGCGUGUAUGAAGAAAGCCUUCGGGUUGGAAAGUACUUUCAGCGGGGAGAAAGGGAGUAAAGUUAAUACCUUUGCUGAUUGACGUUAACCGGAGAAGAAGCACCGGCUAACUCCGUG
rnacentral:rRNA from 1 species